rnacentral:miRNA from 1 species
AGCUGCUGAGCUAUGGAUCCC